rnacentral:rRNA from 1 species
AACGGCCAUACCAUGCUGAUUGUACCGGUUCCCGUUAGAUCACCGAAGUUAAGCAUCAUUGGGUGGGUGACCACCUGGGAACACCGCGUGCCGUU